rnacentral:rRNA from 1 species
UACGGAGGGUGCGAGCGUUAAUCGGAAUUACUGGGCGUAAAGCGCAUGCAGGUGGUUUGUUAAGUCAGAUGUGAAAGCCCGGGGCUCAACCUCGGAAUAGCAUUUGAAACUGGCAGACUAGAGUACUGUAGAGGGGGGUAGAAUUUCAGGUGUAGCGGUGAAAUGCGUAGAGAUCUGAAGGAAUACCGGUGUCGAAGACGGCCCCCUGGACAGAUACUGACACUCAGAUGCGAAAGCGUGGGGAGCAAACAGG